UAAGGUUAUGUUAGGCUGAGUACCAGGGUAAAAUCUGCACUGGAUUGCAGCCUACGGCACCCUCCUGCUCCGGCGAGAAGAUUUCUAACCAUGGCGCUGCCAUCCUUGUGCAGUUCUGAUAUCUAUCUAUCAAUAAAUGAACUACCAAUAGAGAACGUUGACAAUCAACAAAUGCUCUAAAUUUUGACUUUGACCAUGAUUUUGACCAUGAAGGGCUCAGCUUUGUGGGUUUUAGUGGAAUGUGCCUGCAGAGUUCUUGGCAUUUCGACUGCUGCAGCACAACAACUGGCCAAAGGUUAAUUUGCCCAGCAGUGGUGUGUGGCAAAUCUGACAUCUAGUGGCCACAAUAAAAAUUGCAUCCCAUUUUUGUGAAAAUGCCAAAGGUAUGUGUACACACACACACACACACACACACACACACACACACACACACACACACACACACACACACACACACACACACAUAUAUAUGUUUAUAUGAUAUAUGUACUGUAUGUAUUAUACAUAUUACAUAUUAUAUUAUAUUACCAGUAUAUUAUAUUUAAAACACACCGAUUAUUACUUUUUACAUUAAUUACACAUAUGCUUCAGAAUAUUGAUUUUGAUUGAUAUGAUUUCUGAAUGUUAAGUUUAAUGUGAGUGUUGUGAUUGUAUCCUCAUUGCUUUGUGCAGUGGGUAUAGAGGCUCAGAGACAGGAGGAUUUUCAACAGCUUGGCCAUCUAUCUACUGCUGUCAUCAGUGGUCCUGAUUUUUGGAAGUUGCCUAUUUCAUUGACACUCUGUUGGCAAUGCGCCUUCCAUUUUCAUUCUUUGGAAGAAGAUGGUCAAAGUUGGGGUUUUUCAGAAGUCUCUAUAAUACACAAUGAUUUCUUUGAUGUGUUUCCUGCAUCCAGUGCUUGUAUGGCAUGCUGUAAUACCAGAUCUCUUGCAUCCAGUCUCCAUACGUCAAUACAAUUAAGAGAUUCCAUUCAUCAUACUGACCCAGAUGAGAGGGUUUUCAGCCUAAAGACUGGACAGCAACCCCCCAAGCGUUAUUCCUCUCCAUUAACCUCUACAGAUGACUUCAACAUCCUGAAUACUUGAGUAUCAGGAUAUGCUGCAUUCAUGAGUGUUGUUCUUGAUGUACUUCAUGGAAAAAUAUUCAAUUACACAGUAAAUAAAUUCUUUGUGUUGUGAGUCUGUGUUAAUAUGUGUGAAUCUCCAUUUGCUAAUGGAGAGUCGCAGAUGGGCACUGUUCAAAAGAACUGGAAUAAGAAAUUUUGAGAAAUA
ensembl:lncRNA